rnacentral:rRNA from 1 species
AACGAACGCUGGCGGCAGGCUUAACACAUGCAAGUCGAACGCCCCGCAAGGGGAGUGGCAGACGGGUGAGUAACGCGUGGGAAUCUACCUAGUUCUACGGAACAACUGAGGGAAACUUCAGCUAAUACCGUAUACGCCCUACGGGGGAAAGAUUUAUCGGAAUUAGAUGAGCCCGCGUAAGAUUAGCUAGUUGGUGGGGUAAUGGCCUACCAAGGCGACGAUCUUUAGCUGGUCUGAGAGGAUGAUCAGCCACACUGGGACUGAGACACGGCCCAGACUCCUACGGGAGGCAGCAGUGGGGAAUAUUGGACAAUGGGCGCAAGCCUGAUCCAGCCAUGCCGCGUGAGUGAUGAAGGCCUUAGGGUUGUAAAGCUCUUUCAGUGGGGAAGAUAAUGACGGUACCCACAGAAGAAGCCCCGGCUAACUUCGUGCCAGCCGCCGCCGUAAAAC